AUGGCUCGGGCUCUCCUCAAGCAGAGAGGGAUGCCGGCUGUCUUCUGGGGAGAGGCGGUGCUAACGGCCGUCUACAUCCUCAACCGCUCUCCUACUAAGGCACUCGACGGCAGAACUCCGUACGAGGCCUGGCAUGGGCGGAAGCCGGCGGUCUCUCAUUUGCGGGUCUUUGGCUGCCUUGCGUUCGCCAAGGAGCUCGGCCACAUCGGCAAGCUCGACGACAGGAGCACUCCGGGAGUCUUCAUCGGCUACGCGGAGGGCUCAAAGGCCUACCGCAUCCUCGACCCAAAGACACAACGUGUGCGCACAGCGCGAGACGUCGUGUUCAACGAAGGGCGAGGGUGGCAAUGGGACAAGGCGGUGGACGACGGCUCGACGCCGACGUAUGACGACUUCAUUGUCGAGUACGCUCACUUCAAGGAAGCUGGGGGAGCAAGCAGCUCCUCUUCACCGGGCACGUCUACCCCGGCCCCCAAAACUACAUCGACUCCGGCGCCUGCUACACCGACGACACCACAACCGGCGACGCCACAUACUCCAGCCCCGGCGGUCGCCACUCCGGGCUCGUCUUCAUCAGCACCAGCUCACGCAGAGCACAAUCCGAUGAAGUUCGCUUCCCCGCUCACUCACGACGAGGAGCGGGUCGACGCAUGGUAUGGAGGCGAACCGCUGCGGUACCGUACGAUGGAUAAUGUGCUCGGCGACCAGCCGGUGCCAGGACUGGUGCCACGUGACCUGGAGGCGCAGCUACAGCUCGUGUGUGAAGACGGCGAACCACGGUCCUUUGCAGAGGCCGAGAGAGACGCGGCAUGGCGCGCCGCGAUGAAGUUGGAGAUGGAUGCGGUCGAGCAAAACCGCACCUGGGAGCUUGCUGAUCUCCCUCGAGGUCACCGCGCAAUCACCCUUAAGUGGGUGUUCAAGCUGAAGAAGGAUGGAGCCGGCGCCAUCAUCAAGCACAAGGCUCGUUUGGUGGCCCGAGGUUUCUUGCAGCAGGAAGGAGUCGACUUCGACGACGCUUUCGCUCCCGUGGCACGGAUGGAGUCCGUGCGACUUCUCCUUGCGCUGGCUGCCCAGGAGGGCUGGCGUGUCCACCACAUGGACGUUAAGUCGGCAUUCCUCAACGGCGACUUGAAGGAGGAAGUCUACGUGCAUCAGCCACCGGGGUUUACGAUUCCCGGCCAGGAGGGCAAGGUGCUCCGCCUGCGCAAGGCUCUCUAUGGCCUGCGGCAGGCACCCAGGGCGUGGAACGCCAAGCUGGACUCCACGCUGAAGAAGAUGGGUUUCGAGCAGAGCCCGCAUGAGGCUGCCGUCUACCGACGGGGGAGUGGAGGAAAUGCCCUGCUGGUGGGCGUCUACGUUGACGACCUGGUGAUCACCGGCACCAAAGAUGCAGAGGUGGCGGCGUUCAAGGAAGACAUGAAGGCCACGUUCCAGAUGAGUGACCUGGGGCUCCUCUCCUUCUAUCUAUAG
rnacentral:rRNA from 1 species